rnacentral:rRNA from 1 species
GGGUUGUGAGGUUAAGCGACUAAGCGUACACGGUGGAUGCCCUGGCAGUCAGAGGCGAUGAAGGGCGUGCUAAUCUGCGAUAAGCGCCGGUAAGGUGAUAUGAACCGUUAUAACCGGCGAUACCCGAAUGGGGAAACCCAGUGUGACUCGUCACACUAUCAUUAACUGAAUCCAUAGGUUAAUGAGGCGAACCGGGGGAACUGAAACAUCUAAGUACCCCGAGGAAAAGAAAUCAACCGAGAUUCCCCCAGUAGCGGCGAGCGAACGGGGAGGAGCCCAGAGCCUGAAUCAGCAUGUGUGUUAGUGGAAGCGUCUGGAAAGGCGCGCGAUACAGGGUGACAGCCCCGUACACAAAAGCGCAUGUGCUGUGAGCUCGAUGAGUAGGGCGGGACACGUGGUAUCCUGUCUGAAUAUGGGGGGACCAUCCUCCAAGGCUAAAUACUCCUGACUGACCGAUAGUGAACCAGUACCGUGAGGGAAAGGCGAAAAGAACCCCGGCGAGGGGAGUGAAAAAGAACCUGAAACCGUGUACGUACAAGCAGUGGGAGCACCCUUUGGGGUGUGACUGCGUACCUUUUGUAUAAUGGGUCAGCGACUUAUAUUCUGUAGCAAGGUUAACCGAAUAGGGGAGCCGGAGGGAAACCGAGUCUUAAUUGGGCGUUAAGUUGCAGGGUAUAGACCCGAAACCCGGUGAUCUAGCCAUGGGCAGGUUGAAGGUUGGGUAACACUAACUGGAG